rnacentral:tRNA from 1 species
GCUUCAUUGGCUCAGAUGGUAGAGCGACUGAUUCGUAAUCAGUAGGUCGGGGGUUCAAGUCCCCCAUGAAGCU